UAGGGAAUCUUCCACAAUGGACGCAAGUCUGAUGGAGCAACGCCGCGUGAGUGAAGAAGGGUUUCGGCUCGUAAAACUCUGUUGUUAAAGAAGAACAUAUCUGAGAGUAACUGUUCAGGUAUUGACGGUAUUUAACCAGAAAGCCACGGCUAACUACGUGCCCG
rnacentral:rRNA from 1 species